AUGCCAUGUGAGAGCGUAAAAAUUGAACUCUUUUAAAAAUUCUCUAAGUCAAAAACUUAAUAGCAUCACUCUUCUGCUACACAGAUCUGGUCUUACUCAAAAACCUAAUUAUCUCUAUCGAAUUUCUUACUCUCAGCUCUCGAGUUCUCCUCAUAAUCUCACGCUCUCCUCUCGCUUGCCGCCUCACCCAGUCUUGCCGUGACUUUCUCUUGCCGGUCGCCUCUCUCGACUCCCUCUCUCUGGCCGACUUGCUCUCUAUCCUCACUCUCGCUAACUCACUCUAUCGCCGCCUCUUAUCUCUCGCUGCUUCACACCACCGCCACUCCCUUGCCGCUACAAGACCACAAUUCCUCAUCCUCAGCUACGAGGCCCAACAUCCACCAAUUCUGUACCAGUACCGAAGGAGGAAGAAGGCCCAAGAAGGAGAGGCGACAUCUGCCUAAACCUUACUCGAGAGGUAACUAUGGUUAAGGAAUAAACUCUGGUAACUAGGAUCCCGAGGUGCUGCAACGACUCACGUGGUGUGUUGGGAGAAUGUUGGUGACGUGUCUUAGGAGAUUCCUUAGUAUAAGAGUGAGUACUGGUAUUAGCGUCUGUUUCAUCAAAGGAUUGAUCAAAGUUGUUAGGGAGGUGAGAGACUCCAUUUUCUCUCAGAAAGUAGAAGAUGCUCUUGAAAAGGAUUCUUGUGGAGCAGAGGAAGGAAUUGUACUAGAAGAUGAAGUGGGCUUUAUCUAGUUUGCUAAGUUUCAUGAGUACAAUUUCUGUUUUAAAUAAUUUAAGUAUUUAAUGUGUUUUUUUUUUUUUUUUUUGUAAAAUACUGCUACUAUUAAUG